rnacentral:rRNA from 1 species
CUAGCUGGUGGGGUAAGAGCUCACCAGGGCUGUGAUCGGUAGCUGGUCUGAGAGGACGAGCAGCCACACUGGGAUUGAGAACGGCCCAGACUCCUACGGGGGGCAGCAGUGAGGAAUUUUCCGCAAUGGGCGCAAGCCUGACGGAGCAACGCCGCGUGCAGGACGACGGCCUUCGGGUUGUAAACUGCUUUUCUGGGGGACGAGCAAGGACGGUACCCCAGGAAUCAGCCCCGGCUAACUACGUGCCAGCAGCCGCGGUAAUACGUAGGGGGCAAGCGUUGUCCGGAGUUACUGGGCGUAAAGCGCACGCAGGCGGUUGCACGCGUUUCCGGUGCCAGCCCGUUGCUUAACGACGGGAGUGCCGGGAAGACGGUGUGACUGGAGGACCUCAGAGGGACAUAGAAUUCCGGGUGGAGUGGUGAAAUGCGUAGAUAUCCGGAGGAAUACCAAUGGCGAAGGCAGUGUCCUGGGAGGUAACUGACGCUAAGGUGCGAAAGCCAGGGGAGCGAACGGGAUUAGAUACCCCGGUAGUCCUGGCCGUAAACGAUGACCAUUAGGCGUGUGGGGUAUCGACCCCCUGCGUGCCGAAGUUAACACAUGAAAUGGUCCGCCUGGGGAGUACGGUCGCAAGAUUAAAACUCAAAGGAAUUGACG